ACGAACGCUGGCGGCAUGCCUAAUACAUGCCCGUCGAACGAGAUCUUCGGAUCUAGUGGCGCACGGGUGCGUAACGCGUGGGAAUCUGCCCUUGGGUUCGGAAUAACUUCUGGAAACGGAAGCUAAUACCGGAUGAUGACGUAAGUCCAAAGAUUUAUCGCCCAAGGAUGAGCCCGCGUAGGAUUAGGUAGUUGGUGAGGUAAAGGCUCACCAAGCCGACGAUCCUUAGCUGGUCUGAGAGGAUGAUCAGCCACACUGGGACUGAGACACGGCCCAGACUCCUACGGGAGGCAGCAGUAGGGAAUAUUGGACAAUGGGCGAAAGCCUGAUCCAGCAAUGCCGCGUGAGUGAUGAAGGCCUUAGGGUUGUAAAGCUCUUUUACCCGGGAUGAUAAUGACAGUACCGGGAGAAUAAGCUCCGGCUAACUCCGUG
rnacentral:rRNA from 1 species